rnacentral:rRNA from 1 species
UACGUAGGUGGCAAGCGUUGACCGGAUUUACUGGGCGUAAAGAGCGCGCAGGCGGUCGAUCAAGUCGCGUGUGAAAGCCCCCGGCUCAACUGGGGAGGGUCACGCGAUACUGAUCGACUCGAAGGCAGGAGAGGGUAGUGGAAUUCCCGGUGUAGUGGUGAAAUGCGUAGAUAUCGGGAGGAACACCAGUGGCGAAGGCGACUACCUGGCCUGUUCUUGACGCUGAGGCGCGAAAGCUAGGGGAGCAAACGGG